rnacentral:sRNA from 1 species
UUCUAGUUUGCGUUAAGGAUUGAAGCGAUAUCCUUUUUUAGAAUUAAUUAAUUCUAAAAAAGAUUAAGCUAAAAGCCUGACGGCGC